AUUGCUCUAACGGGGUGCCCUUCGAACCGUUUGCCUGAUGGCAGGCGCAGGAGGGGCUGAGAGGCGCGCGCGCCAACCCGAGGAACCUGAUCCGGCUCGUACCGGCGGAGGGAUUAGACGGCCUUGCGAU
rnacentral:ncRNA from 2 species